rnacentral:rRNA from 1 species
UAGCUAGUUGGUGGGGUAAGGGCCUACCAAGGCGACGAUCGGUAGCUGGUCUGAGAGGAUGGCCAGCCACACUGGAACUGAGACACGGUCCAGACUCCUACGGGAGGCAGCAGUGGGGAAUAUUGGACAAUGGGGGGAACCCUGAUCCAGCAAUGCCGCGUGUGUGAAGAAGGCCUGAGGGUUGUAAAGCACUUUUAGUGGGGAGGAGGUUUGAUUGGUUAAGAGCUGAUUAAAUGGACGUACCCACAGAAAAAGCACCGGCUAACUCCGUGCCAGCAGCCGCGGUAAUACGGAGGGUGCGAGCGUUAAUCGGAAUUACUGGGCGUAAAGGGUGCGUAGGUUGUCUGAUAAGUUGUCUGUGAAAUUCCUGGGCUUAACCUGGGCAUGUCAGAUGAUACUGUUGGACUAGAGUAUAGGAGAGGGUAGUGGAAUUUCCGGUGUAGCGGUGAAAUGCGUAGAGAUCGGAAGGAACACCAGUGGCGAAGGCGGCUACCUGGCCUAAUACUGACACUGAGGCACGAAAGCGUGGGGAGCAAACAGGAUUAGAUACCCUGGUAGUCCACGCUGUAAACGAUGUCAACUAGCUGUUGGUUAUUUAAAAAUAAUUAGUGGCGC